AGCGAGUCAGCCCGUGUUUACGUGUAGCCGACAGAGCUAGCGUUAGCUUCUGCUGAGCGAGAGGUCAAAGGUCAGCCGGUCUCCAUCAUGGUCAAACAGCAGCGGAGAGCCGACAGGUGUUUUGCGGCAGCUGCCGUCAGUAACGGUGUGACGCAGGUUCAAUUCCCCGUCGGCCUCAUCCAGAGGAAUCACUUGCUGACU